ensembl:lncRNA novel transcript
ACCGCACACGACUCGGCCCUCGGGGAACUCUUUUUCUACGUCUCUCCUACUCUUAAACUCCUCAACUCACAGAGGGUUGGAGAGCUGGCACCAUGAGCUUCCAGUUCCUACGGGUGAGAAAAGAGGUGUCUGUGUGGAGGGCAGGUGCGACCCCGGGGGCUAGCAGAGAGGAGAGGCUGCGGGAGGACUCGCUGCGAAGGGCGAGGGGUGGCGCUGGGUGGGACGGGCGCCUGGGGCCGUGCAGGGUGGCUCCUGGGUGCUGCCCGGGCUGCCUGUCGCCCAGUACUGGCGCAGGAAGACGGGUCCGCGCAGCGUCUGGCAACAGUGGCCUGCUCCACGCCUGGAGGCGACCAAGUUCUGAGUUAAAGGCGCCGGGCUUAGCCGGGAAGUGUAUGGCGACCCAGAACACGGAGCGGAGAAGGCCUCAGGGGACACGAGGCUACCGCCUUAGUCCUCGGGCCUGCGCUCCGAGCGGUUAGGGUGCGUACGGAUGGGCUCCGGGAUGUUAGUGGAGAGGUGACAGGAGUCUACCAUCCCACGGCCAAGCGUGUGAGGCCUCCGGCGGGCGGGGGUCCCCCCCGGGGCAGGGCAGGGGGAGAGUCAGGCAUGUCUCUAACGGGCUCCCUAGUAGAACCGCUAGGAAAGUGGCCUUCAACCCUAGGCACCUUUGUGGCUUUCAGGUAGUUGGGCGACUAAAAAUUCACUUUUGCCUGCUGUGAAAUGGGACAGGUGGUUGUCAGGUUAGAGACUGUGCCCACGAAGUCUCGUUUGGCGGGCCGGGACUGACGUGGACCCGGGCCCUCCUCGGAAGCUUGGGAACCUGUGAGCCCCUCAGCUCCUCGCCUCACUUUGCCUGUUUGAAAAAAGGAGUUGUUUGAGAGGAAGAGUUAAGGCUCAAAAGGUUCUAAACGAAGAGCAUGCGGCCUGACGCGGAGCGCAAAGAAGCGAGCAGUGAACUGAAUCUGGUGGGACUGAGACCAGAGGCGUCUGUAUGCGGCGGCCGCUUCGCGCCCUAUUAAAGCAAUCUGUUAUUUACGAUAA